UCUGGUGUCCUAGGCGUAGAGGAACCACACCAAUCCAUCCCGAAUUUGGUGGUUAAACUCUACUGCGGUGACGAUAUUGUAGGGGAGGUCCUGCGGCAAAAUAGCUCGAUGCCAGAA
rnacentral:rRNA from 1 species